GACGAACGCUGGCGGCGUGCCUAAUACAUGCAAGUUGAGCGAUGAAGAUUGGUGCUUGCACCAAUUUGAAGAGCAGCGAACGGGUGAGUAACGCGUGGGGAAUCUGCCUUUGAGCGGGGGACAACAUUUGGAAACGAAUGCUAAUACCGCAUAACAACUUUAAACAUAAGUUUUAAGUUUGAAAGAUGCAAUUGCAUCACUCAAAGAUGAUCCCGCGUUGUAUUAGCUAGUUGGUGAGGUAAAGGCUCACCAAGGCGAUGAUACAUAGCCGACCUGAGAGGGUGAUCGGCCACAUUGGGACUGAGACACGGCCCAAACUCCUACGGGAGGCAGCAGUAGGGAAUCUUCGGCAAUGGACGAAAGUCUGACCGAGCAACGCCGCGGGAGUGAAGAAGGGUUUCGGAUCGUAAAACUCUGUUGGUAGAGAAGAACGUUGGUGAGAGUGGAAAGCUCAUCAAGUGACGGUAACUACCCAGAAAGGGGCGGCUAACUACGUG
rnacentral:rRNA from 1 species